ensembl:miRNA
GAUGGAUGACACCUCCUUAACUCAUGCCGCUGUGCCUUUCACCCCCACUCCCACAAUUGUAUGAGUUGAGUACAGAGUAUCAGACU